rnacentral:rRNA from 1 species
GUCAAGUCAUCAUGGCCCUUAUGGCCAGGGCUACACACGUGCUACAAUGGCCGGUACAAAGGGUCGCCAACCCGCGAGGGGGAGCCAAUCCCAUAAAGCCGGUCGUAGUCCGGAUCGCAGUCUGCAACUCGACUGCGUGAAGUCGGAAUCGCUAGUAAUCGCAGAUCAGCAUUGCUGCGGUGAAUACGUUCCCGGGUCUU